CCUACGUGCGGCAGCAGUGAGGAAUAUUGGUCAAUGGGCGCGAGCCUGAACCAGCCAAGUAGCGUGAAGGAUGACUGCCCUACGGGUUGUAAACUUCUUUUAUAAAGGAAUAAAGUGAGGCACGUGUGCCUUUUUGUAUGUACUUUAUGAAUAAGGAUCGGCUAACUCCGUGCCAGCAGCCGCGGUAAUACGGAGGAUCCGAGCGUUAUCCGGAUUUAUUGGGUGUAAAGGGAGCGUAGAUGGGUUGUUAAGUCAGUUGUGAAAGUUUGCGGCUCAACCGUAAAAUUGCAAUUGAUACUGGCAGUCUUGAGUACAGUUGAGGUAGGCGGAAUUCGUGGUGUAGCGGUGAAAUGCGUAGAUAUCACGAAGAACUCCGAUUGCGAAGGCAGCUUACUAAACUGCCACUGACAUUGAUGCUCGAAAGUGUGGGUAUCAAACAGGAUUAGAUACCCUUGUAGUC
rnacentral:rRNA from 1 species